rnacentral:rRNA from 1 species
UACGUAGGGUGCGAGCGUUGUCCGGAAUUACUGGGCGUAAAGAGCUCGUAGGUGGUUUGUCGCGUUGUUCGUGAAAACCUGAGGCUUAACCUUGGGCGUGCGGGCGAUACGGGCAGACUGGAGUACUGCAGGGGAGACUGGAAUUCCUGGUGUAGCGGUGGAAUGCGCAGAUAUCAGGAGGAACACCGGUGGCGAAGGCGGGUCUCUGGGCCGAUACUGACGCUGAGGAGCGAAAGCGUGGGGAGCGAACAGG